rnacentral:rRNA from 1 species
GACGAACGCUGGCGGCGUGCUUAACACAUGCAAGUCGAACGGUGAAGCGCCUUCCUUUUUGGUGGGUGUGGAUGAGUGGCGAACGGGUGAGUAACACGUGAGUAACCUGCCCCCUUCUUCUGGAUAACCGCAUGAAAGUGUGGCUAAUACGGGAUAUUCUGGGUCUGUCGCAUGAUGGGUCUGGGAAAGAUAUUGUUUCGGUGGGGGAUGGGCUCGCGGCCUAUCAGCUUGUUGGUGGGGUGAUGGCCUACCAAGGCGGUGACGGGUAGCCGGCCUGAGAGGGUGGACGGUCACACUGGGACUGAGACACGGACCAGACUCCUACGGGAGGCAGCAGUGGGGAAUAUUGCACAAUGGGCGCAAGCCUGAUGCAGCGACGCCGCGUGAGGGAUGGAGGCCUUCGGGUUGUGAACCUCUUUCGCCAGUGAAGCAGGCCUGCCUCGUUUGUGGGUGGGUUGACGGUAGCUGGAUAAGAAGCGCCGGCUAACUACGCG